CUCCCCUUCUCCUUAGUGUGUACCAAUGCAUUAAUUGAAGCCCUUAUGGGUCUUUCUCUAUUUAUUAUUUCAAAUUUACUUAGAUUACUUUUGAUGCUUCCUGCUUGAAUGAUUUCAUAAAAAAGUUAGUAAUGAUAGAAAGUUUCUUGUUUCUUUUUCUUAUCUACAAGAACUCAGUCGUAAGCUUGCAGGAAUUCAAUGGAUGGACAGCUCAAGAUAUUCUUGAAACUCCAAGCAGCUCAAUUAUAAAUAAGUUCUAUAGCAGUUGACAGAGGACUCAGCUCAGGAGGGCCAAGCCUGGAGCAUGUGGAGGAAGAUAAACAGCUCAUGAAUGGCGAAGUCCAAUAUAUUAGAGAAGAAGGAUGUUAUUGGAGCUUCCUGUGGCUCCGAGAGGCACAAGGGGAAAUGAUAAGAAAAUUAGGUGAAUGAAAGUAAUCGACCUGCAACUAAUGAAGCUUCAGGAGCCUGGACCUCUUUGUUUAAUGUAAAUUGCACAAGCAGUGGUAGCAGCUCUGGAAGUAUCAAUAGUUCUGCGAAAAAGGAGGAUGUGGAUAUUGAUUGCUUGGACUAUGAAGUCUUAUGGGAAGACAUGAUAAUUGGAGAGAGGAUUG